CCUACGGGGGGCAGCAGUGGGGAAUAUUGGACAAUGGGCGAAAGCCUGAUCCAGCAAUGCCGCGUGUGUGAAGAAGGCCUUCGGGUUGUAAAGCACUUUCAGCGGGGAAGAAAAUUGCAAAGUUAAUACCUUUGUGACCUGACGUUACCCGCAGAAGAAGCACUGGCUAACUCUGUGCCAGCAGCCGCGGUAAUACAGAGAGUGCGAGCGUUAAUCGGAAUUACUGGGCGUAAAGCGCGCGUAGGCGGAUACUUAAGUCGGAUGUGAAAGCCCUGGGCUUAACCUAGGAAUUGCAUUCGAUACUGGGUGUCUAGAGUAUGGUAGAGGGAAGUGGAAUUUCCGGUGUAGCGGUGAAAUGCGUAGAUAUCGGAAGGAACACCAGUGGCGAAGGCGGCUUCCUGGACCAAUACUGACGCUGAGGUGCGAAAGCGUGGGGAGCA
rnacentral:rRNA from 1 species